rnacentral:lncRNA from 1 species
AGUAGAGAAGGUAGGCAGUGCUUGCAAAGGCCUGAGCACUGCAAGAAUGGACUAAUACGCUAUGUGAAGACAAAGGGGAUGUCUGCAAGCCAGGACGAGUGCGUCUACCAGAAACUGAGUUCUGCUGGACUUUGAUCUAGGACAUCCAGCCUCCAGAAUGGAAUGUGCCAUAUGUGGAGACCUGCAUGGAAAGGAACUGAGGAUGCUCUCUCACUAAAAGCUAGAAGGAACUGAGGCCCUCAGUCAACAGUCUACAAGACACUGAAUCUUGCCAGCAGCCAAGCAGUGAGCUUGAAAGCAGAUCUAUCAUCAGCUGAACCUUCAGAUGAGACCGCAGCCUAAGCAGAUACCUUGGUUGCAGCCAUGUGAGACAACCUGAAACAGAGGGCACAGCUAAGCCUCAGCCAGGUUCAUGACCCUCUGAGGAAACUGUGAGAAAGCAAAUGUCAUUUUAAGCUAUUUAAUUUUGGAGGUAGUUUAUUACACAACAAUAAAUAACUAUUAUAAUUAUCUUGAGGAUUUAUUUCCUGGGGAGAAUACAUGGAAUUGCAUAUAUAGGUCCUCAUAUGCAGAAUACUGGUACCCUAGAGAUGUUCACCCCAGAGAUGUUUUAGGAACCUGUGAAUAUGUUACAUUAAAUGGCAAAGUUUUCCUGGAUGGUUUAAGUUUAAGAUGGAAAAGUUUUACUGGAUUAUCCAGUGGGUCCAAUCUAGUAACAUGAGUCCUUAAAAAUGGAGAAUAUUUUUUGGCCAUGAUCAGAGAGACAUGUGAUGAUGGAAAAAGUGUCAGAGAUGCAAUGUGAGGGGACUAAAACUGCUGUUGCUGACUUUAAAGAUGGAGAGAGGGGAACCCGAGUCAAGGAAUGCAAAUGGCCUCUGGAAGCUGGAAAAAGCAAGAAAUGGAUUCUCCUUUAGAGCCUGUGGAAUAAAAUGCAGUCAUGCUGACACCUUGAUUUUACCUCAGUGAGACCAAUACUGGAGUAUGACCUUCGGAGCUGAAUAAAAUUAUACGUACACAUCUUAAUUUCUUGGGAUUUGAUUACUUCUUCUGCUUUGAAAUUAGACCAAGUUUAGCCUGCCUUUGCUAUUUUGGCGUAUCUCCA